rnacentral:tRNA from 1 species
GAAGCUCGUAGCUCAGUGGUAGAGCUCUCGAAAGAUCCCUUCGCCGACUCCUCGUCCGGAUUUCCGGGCCGCAGGUGAAGGGUUACCGCUAAUCAAGGGGUCGCGGGUUCGAUUCCCGCCGGGCUUCU